rnacentral:rRNA from 1 species
GACGAACGCUGGCGGCGUGCUUAACACAUGCAAGUCGAACGGGUCUGCCCUGUUUUUUGCGGGGUGGGUCAGUGGCGAACGGGUGAGUAACACGUGAGUAACCUGCCCCUCACUUCUGGAUAACCGCUUGAAAGGGUGGCUAAUACGGGGUGUUCUGGCUGUGCCGCAUGGUGUGGCUGGGAAAGAUUCACUUUUGUGGUGUUUUGGUGGGGGAUGGGCUCGCGGCCUAUCAGCUUGUUGGUGGGGUGAUGGCCUGCCAAGGCUUUGACGGGGCGCCGGCCUGGGAGGGUGGGCGGUCACACUGGGACUGAGAUACGGCCCAGACUCCUGCGGGAGGCAGCAGUGGGGGGUAUUGCACAAUGGGCGGAAGCCUGAUGCAGCGACGUCGCGUGAGGGAUGGAGGCCUUCGGGUUGUGAACCUCUUUCGCCGGUGAAGAAGGUCCUGCUCUUUGUGGUGGGGUUGACGGUAGCCGGGUUAUGAAGCGCCGGCUAACUACGUG